rnacentral:rRNA from 1 species
UACGUAGGGUGCAAGCGUUAAUCGGAAUUACUGGGCGUAAAGCGUGCGCAGGCGGUUUUGUAAGUUUGUCGUGAAAGCCCCGGGCUCAACCUGGGAAUUGCGAUGAAGACUGCAAGGCUUGAAUCCGGGAGAGGGAUGCGGAAUUCCAGGUGUAGCGGUGAAAUGCGUAGAUAUCAAGGAGGAACACCGGUGGCGAAGGCGGGACUCUGGGCCGAUACUGACGCUGAGGAGCGAAAGCGUGGGGAGCAAACAGG